rnacentral:rRNA from 1 species
AUUGAACGCUAGCGGGAUGCCUUACACAUGCAAGUCGAACGGAGUGGCGAACGGGUGAGUAAUGUAUCGGAACGUGACCAGUAGCGGGGGAUAACUACGCGAAAGGGAAGCUAAUAUCGCAUAAUAAUGGAGCGGCCGAUAACGGAUUAGCGAGUUGGGGGGGUAACGGCUUACCAAGGCGACGAUCCGUAGCUGGGUUGAGAGGUCGACCAGCCACACUGGAACUGAGAAACGGCCCAGACUCCUACGGGAGGCAGCAGUAGGGAAUUUUGCACAAUGGGGGAAACCCUGAUCCAGCCAUCCCGCGUGUGCGAUGAAGGCCUUCGGGUUGUAAAGCACUUUUGUCAGGAAAGCGGUACCUGCAGAAUAAGCCCCGGCUAACUACGUGCCAGCCGCCGCGGUAAUAC